UACAGAGGUCUCAAGCGUUGUUCGGAUUCAUUGGGCGUAAAGGGUGCGUAGGUGGCGUCGUAAGUCGGGUGUGAAAUUUCGGAGCUUAACUCCGAAACUGCAUUCGAUACUGCGGUGCUUGAGGACUGGAGAGGAGACUGGAAUUUACGGUGUAGCAGUGAAAUGCGUAGAGAUCGUAAGGAAGACCAGUGGCGAAGGCGGGUUUCGUGGACAGUUCCUGACACUGAGGCAGCGAAGGCCAGGGGAGCAAACGGG
rnacentral:rRNA from 1 species